rnacentral:rRNA from 1 species
AACUAACGCUGGCGGCGUGCCUAACACAUGCAAGUCGAACGAGAAAGUUGGCUUCGGCCGAUGAGUAAAGUGGCGCACGGGUGAGUAACGCGUGGAUAAUCUGCCCUUAAGUUCGGAAUAACGUACCGAAAGGUGCGCUAAUACCGGAUAAUACUGAGUAACUACUGUUGCUUAGUCAAAGAAGGCUUCUGUUUACAUGCUUUUGCUUUGGGAUGAGUCCGCGUACCAUUAGCUAGUUGGUAGGGUAAUGGCCUACCAAGGCGACGAUGGUUAGCUGGUCUGAGAGGAUGAUCAGCCACACUGGAACUGAGACACGGUCCAGACUCCUACGGGAGGCAGCAGUGAGGAAUAUUGCGCAAUGGGGGCAACCCUGACGCAGCAACGCCGCGUGAGUGAGGAAGGUUUUCGGACCGUAAAGCUCUGUCGAGCGGGAAGAAAUGCAUCAUGGCUAAUAUCCAUGGUGCUUGACGGUACCGCUAAAGGAAGCACC